rnacentral:rRNA from 1 species
AGGGCACCACCAGGAGUGGAGCCUGCGGCUUAAUUUGACUCAACACGGGAAAACUCACCCGGCCCGGACACUGGAAGGAUUGACAGAUUGAGAGCUCUUUCUUGAUUCAGUGGGUGGUGGUGCAUGGCCGUUCUUAGUUGGUGGAGUGAUUUGUCUGGUUAAUUCCGAUAACGAACGAGACUCUAGCCUACUAAAUAGAUCGYCGGCUUACAAACGCCGGCGAGACUUCUUAGAGGGACAGGCGGUGAUUCAACCGCACGAAACRGAGCAAUAACAGGUCUGUGAUGCCCUUAGAUGUCCGGGGCCGCACGCGCGCUACACUGAAGUGAUCAGCGUGCUUUUUCAACCUACUCUGUCAAGAGUGGGGAACCCAAUGAACCUUCUUCGUGAUUGGGAUAGGGGAUUGUAAUUGUUCCCCUUGAACGAGGAAUUCCCAGUAAGCGCGAGUCAUAAGCUCGCGUUGAUUACGUCCCUGCCCUUUGUACACACCGCCCGUCGCUACUACCGAUUGAAUGUUUU